rnacentral:rRNA from 1 species
CACGUAGGGCGCAAGCGUUGUCCGGAUUCAUUGGGCGUAAAGAGCUCGUAGGCGGUUUGGUAAGUCGGGUGUGAAAACUCAGGGCUCAACCCUGAGAUGCCACCCGGUACUGCUAUGACUAGAGUCCGGUAGAGGAGCAUGGAAUUCCUGGUGUAGCGGUGAAAUGCGCAGAUAUCAGGAGGAACACCAAUUGCGAAGGCAGUGCUCUGGGCCGGAACUGACGCUGAGGAGCGAAAGCGUGGGUAGCGAACAGG